GAUGAAGAACGCAGCGAAACGCGAUACGUAAUGUGAAUUGCAGAAUUCAGUGAAUCAUCGAAUCUUUGAACGCACAUUGCGCCCCCUGGUAUUCCGGGGGGCAUGCCUGUCCGAGCGCCAUUGCUGCCCUCAAGCACGGCUUGUGUGUUGGGCCUCCGUCCUCCUCCCGGGGGACGGGCCCGAAAGGCAGCGGCGGCACCGCGUCCGGUCCUCGAGCGUAUGGGGCUUCGUCACCCGCUCUUGUAGGCCCGGCCGGCGCUUGCCGACACAUCAAUCUUUUUUCCAGGUUGACCUCGGAUCAGGUAGGGAUACCCGCUGAACUUAAGCAUAUCAAUAAGCGGAGGA
rnacentral:misc_RNA from 1 species